rnacentral:lncRNA from 1 species
AGAGUUGUUGUUUUGCUGUUUUGAAAAUAAAAGAGAGUGGACAAAAAAAUAACCUAAACAGAAUUUAAGUGGUUCUGCCACGCUCCGUUCGCUGGGCGAACUUUGUUCGCGGGGCGAACUGAAGCUUUCCAUUAAGUUCGCGGGGCGAAAGAUGAUCGCGGGGCGAACUGGAGGAAUUUCUGAAAAAAUUAAUUUGCAGUGGACAAAACCCAAGUUUCACAAAAAUUAACACAACAAAAUAUCAUAACAGCAGAAUUGAGAAAAUAUAAAAUGC